UACGGAGGGUGCAAGCGUUAUCCGGAUUCACUGGGUUUAAAGGGUGCGUAGGUGGGCAAGUAAGUCAGUGGUGAAAUCUCCGGGCUUAACCCGGAAACUGCCAUUGAUACUAUUUGUCUUGAAUACUGUGGAGGUCAGCGGAAUAUGUCAUGUAGCGGUGAAAUGCUUAGAUAUGACAUAGAACACCACUUGCGAAGGCAGCUGGCUACACAAAUAUUGACACUGAGGCACGAAAGCGUGGGGAUCAAACAGG
rnacentral:rRNA from 1 species